AUCUCCUCUAAAGUCAAGAUGGGUCUCACAAGCAAUAGUAUCUAAAGUUUGAUGAACUAUGCUAUGAAUGUUUUAUAUAUGUGCAUGUGUGAAGUGUAUUGCUAUGUGAUAUUUAUUUCUGAGUAUGGGUCACAGUCACUAUUUUACCUUCAAAGGCUUAUUUAUGGUAGCAAGGUUGGGGCAGCCUGGGGAAAUUGGAAUACCACCUAGAAUUGGAUGCCUCCAUUCUGGGUGGGGAAAUUGAGAGAAGAUAUAAGUAUCCUUGGGCUCUGGAAGCAAAUAGAGUUGUUUCACUGGCCAACUAUAUCAGACAAGUGUGAUCAAGCCACCAGAGUCAGGCAUUGACAAUCAGAUGUAAUAGGACUGUAAGAAUUCCCUGUGAACAGAGGGAAUCCAGGAUCUGACAAGGCUUUGGGGCUCUUCAUAGCAGCAUGCCUGAUCGGUUAAACCAGCAGGAGUGAAACCUCAGCCUUUAGUGGCAUAUGGUGCCAGGAUGGUUACUAAGAGGAAGUCUUUGGUAUAAAGAACCAGGCUCAAGUCCCCUCACAAAGGAUGGAACAGCCAGGCUGUGGCACUAGGGAGCCAGCCUCAGGAUGAAGAAACUGCUCUUUACUGGGGUCACCUCCUUAACCACUUCUCAACCAGGCCCAACAUUUUGUUUGCUUACUGCUUCCUCUUUUUGUUGAACUCUUAGUUACCUCUAUAGAGGAUUCAUUUUUUAAAGAUAUGCUCAGGGAGAGAGCCCACCUGACUCUGCUUUGGGUGUCUAAGGUGAGGGGACUGGGUCUCUGGGACUAAAUGGAAGUCAAGCCAAGGCCUUUCUAGCAAAGAGGGCAACUGGAAUCCCUGAGUGUUGGGUUGGGUUUACAUGAAUCCUAUGUGUAUGAAUCUGAGUAUAAUCCCUCUUAGAGCGGGGAUGAGCCUUUGGGUUAGAGCAGGAUCAGUUGCCAUAAGAGGAGGAUACUGUGUUUGAAUCCUGGUGUAGCUUACACCAUCUCACCUCUUGAGAGGAUGAAAUGACGCAUGCGUGUAUAAACCACCAUGAGUAGGCUGUGUCAACAAAUAUAAGGAAGACUUAAGAAUCUGUGCGCCAUGGCUUUGAAAUAAAGCACUGUACUUCUUUCCCUCUCCCAGGUCUCUCUGGUGAAACCCUAUCUUCUUUACUCCAUUGUAGACAGAAAGAGGUCUUCUCAGAUGAUCUGUUCCAUUUCUUUAGAGGAGAAUGUCCUAAUUUCUUGCCCUGGAAAUUACUGACUGUGGGCACUUCUGCAUGAGGGAAUGGGUCGGAUAAGUUAUUUAAUACACAGAUCCCUCUGGUGAUAUUUGAGCUUCCUGGACUGUGCGGAGAGACUCAAUGAUGGGCCACUGAGGAGUUGGACCACAACAGAGUUUCUUGGCCUUAGCAUUAUUGGCAUUUGGGGCCAGAUAAUUCUGGUGUUGUUAGGUGCAGUCCUGUGCAUUGUAAGGCACUCUGCUGUUUUAUGAGACAGGCAUUAGUGUCCCCACUUACAGUUAAGGAAACUGAGGCACAGAGCAGUUCAGUGGCAUGAGGUCACACAGCUGGUAAGUGACAGAUCCAAGAUUUGAACUCUGACUCUAAACCUUGAGCUCUUAAUAUUCUAUUACAUUUGAUUUUUGCUGGUUGACUAUUGUUUUGACUCUUCCACAAACUUCUAUAUUAUUUUAUGUCUCCCAACAAAGUGUAUGAACAACGUAUGAUUCAAGGAACUUUAAAAAUUGUCCCUUUUCAGAUAUUUUAAUGGCUCUUGAAAUUAAAACUCCAAAACCUCAGGAUCACCAUAGUUAAUCAGAACUAGAAGCUCAUAUAGAAUUGCUUUCUGCUUAAUUCUGUAGGGGAAAAAAGCUGAAUGGAAAGAAAGUAAUUUAUUGAAAAAUACUGAUUUCAGCCUCUGAAUUUUGGCAAAUCUCCUAUAUCUUUUAGAAUUGAUAUUCAAUAGAAGAAAUGAGAUUUGUGAACCUCAGUCAUACGUUUGCUAUGCUCUAACUACUAAGGCAGAUGGGUUGACUGAUGUUUAUUCAUUCAACAAACAUUUAGUUUUUGGUGAUUCUACCUUGGAGCUAGCUACAAUACAAGACACUGUAAAAGGAAUAAAAUAACGGUUGUCUCUAGGGUUCCAUAAUCUAAAAGAGGAAGGCGUAACUGAAAGCAAAUAGGUAUAUUUCUAUAAGCAAUUGCUAGUGCUUUUUUGCUG